rnacentral:rRNA from 1 species
CCUACGGGGAGCAGCAGUGGGGCAUAUUGGACAAUGGGCGAAAGCCUGAUCCAGCCAUGCCGCGUGUGUGAAGAAGGCCUUCGGGUUGUAAAGCACUUUCAGUGGGGAAGAAAGCCUUGGGGCGAAUACCCUCGAGGAAGGACAUCACCCACAGAAGAAGCACCGGCUAACUCCGUGCCAGCAGCCGCGGUAAUACGGAGGGUGCGAGCGUUAAUCGGAAUUACUGGGCGUAAAGCGCGCGUAGGCGGUCUGAUAAGCCGGUUGUGAAAGCCCCGGGCUCAACCUGGGAACGGCAUCCGGAACUGUCAGGCUAGAGUGCAGGAGAGGAAGGUAGAAUUCCCGGUGUAGCGGUGAAAUGCGUAGAGAUCGGGAGGAAUACCAGUGGCGAAGGCGGCCUUCUGGACUGACACUGACGCUGAGGUGCGAAAGCGUGGGUAGCAAACAGGAUUAGAUACCCCGGUAGUC